rnacentral:rRNA from 1 species
CCUACGGGGGGCUGCAGUGGGGAAUAUUGGACAGUGGGGGCAACCCUGAUCCAGCCAUGCCGCGUGUAUGAAGAAGGCCCUCGGGUUGUAAAGCACUUUCAGUGAGGAAGAACGCCUGGUGGUUAAUACCCAUCAGGAAAGACAUCACUCACAGAAGAAGCACCGGCUAACUCCGUGCCAGCAGCCGCGGUAAUACGGAGGGUGCGAGCGUUAAUCGGAAUUACUGGUCGUAAAGCGCGCGUAGGUGGCUUGAUAAGCCGGUUGUGAAAGCCCCGGGCUCAACCUGGGAACGGCAUCCGGAACUGUCAAGCUAGAGUGCAGGAGAGGAAGGUAGAAUUCCCGGUGUAGCGGCGAAAUGCGUAGAGAUCGGGAGGAAUACCAGUGGCGAAGGCGGCCUUCUGGACUGACACUGACACUGAGGUGCGAAAGCGUGGGUAGCAAACAGGAUUAGAUACCCUGGUAGUC